CCCAAACCCUAAAAUUAUUUCCACCAUUUUUCCCUCUCUUCAUAGCCGUCUCCCUCUCCACCAUUUUUCUCCUCUCUUCAUCUUCUCUCCUCCCGUCGCCACAGCCACUCACGAAGUCGCCAACACUCCUCCCUCGCACCACUGCCACUCCCUCGCACCACUGCCACUCACGGUGGCAGAUCGUGAACUGAUCCCAAGCAAUAAGCUCCGAGUAACAACUGUACAUGGAGGACGAAAUUCCCAACAAUACUUUUGCCACCCAACCCAGUGGAGGCAAUCAAUCCGAGGGUUGGUACUCCCUUUUAUUUGCUCUUUUCAAAUCGACGGACUCAGGACCCGGUGUUCAUAGAUCAGGACUGGAGAUCUUCUCCGUCCUCCUCUCUCUUCUUUAGUCCAACCGCCUUCCUUCCACUGUGCAAACGCUUCUCUAAUCAGGUUAAUUGGUUGUUUGGUGGUGGUUAAUCAAGUUAAUUGGUUUGUUGGUUUUGGGGUGGUUGUUGGUGUUUGGACGACGAUUUGUUGGUUUUGGGGUGGUUGUUGGUGUUUGGACGACGAUUUGUUGGUGGUUGUGGUGGUGGUGGUCACAAAUUAAUUAGUUGUUGUUGGCGGUUGUGCUGGUGGUUUUUGUUGGUUUUGGGAUAGUGGGGGUGUGUGUGGCAAUGGUGUGGUGUGGUGUGGUGUGGGGGUGUUUUUGUAGGGUGAUGGUGUGGCGGUGAUAUGUUGAUUUAGUUUGGUGUGGUGCUGACGAUGGCGUUGGUGAUGUUGGAAGCAGUGGUUGUUUGACGAUGGUCACAGAUUAAUUGAUUGGUUGUAACCAUUAAAUUGGUUAAUCUGUGACCAAUAAAAAAAUAAAUUGUGAGUGAUCUAAAAAAUUAAUAAUUUGUGAUUGUUUAAUAAGUUGUAACUUAUAAUAUUUUUGAUUUGUGAUUUAUAAAUUUUUGAUCCAUGAUCGAUGAACAAAUUUGUGAUCUACAAAAGUUUUUAAUUGUAAC
rnacentral:lncRNA from 1 species